GAAGAAAUUUCUUCCGCUCCGAUGGAAAUAUAUGACAUGUAGGCUACAUAUAAAGCGCCAAUACUUUUGAAACUGAGGAAAACAACGCGCCUUUAGCGCCUGCUUCACUAUAGUCGUCGUCACCAUGUCAGUCAGAGCAACCGACCGCCGGAUGAGGUUCUAGGGAUCUAAUGCUUGUGAUAAUCUACAGCAGAUGACCAUGACAAUCCAGGUUCUAGGGAUCUAAUGCUUGUGAUAAUCUACAGCAGAUGACCAUGACAAUCCAGGUUCUGUGAACUACUGCUUGUGAUAAUCUACAGCAGAUGACCAUGACAAUCCAGGUUCUGUGGAUCGACUGCUUGUGCUAAUCUACCGCAGGUGACCAUAACAAUCCAGGUACUGUGAACUACUGCUUUUGCUAAUCUACCGCAGGUGACCAUGACAAUCCAGGUUCUGUGAACUACUGCUUGUGAUAAUCUACAGCAGAUGACCAUGACAAUCCAGGUUCUGUGGAUCGACUGCUUGUGCUAAUCUACCGCAGGUGACUAUAACAAUCCAGCAGAUAACUUCAGGAUUUAUAGAAGGCAUAUAAUGACAGUGAGCGGGACCAAAAC